AUCAGAGGAAAGGGAGGACACCGAUUUCACCCCACUGCCAGGGAAUUUGCUGCAGCACUAAGGAGUGCAUCAGUGGCAAACAUCAUCAGCUUGCAGGGCAGUGCUACAAACUGCAUUCCUGAUAAUGCCACUCAGUUGUUGCAGUCCACUCCUGUGAAAUGCAGUGAGCAGAUUGAAUGUGAAAAUGAAGAGCUGGAUGAAGAGCAAAUAAUGGCUAAUGAGCAGGAGGGGGGCAAGGGAAGUUGCAGGCUUUUGUCGAAGUUUUGAGGUUCCCGGUUCGAUCCCCGCCCGCGGUGUGCAAAGACGGAGAACACACAUCCGGGAACGAUGAGCCAUUCGUAUACAAGCUUCACCUGAGCUCGU